rnacentral:rRNA from 1 species
UAACUGAAUCCAUAGGUUAAUGAGGCGAACCGGGGGAACUGAAACAUCUAAGUACCCCGAGGAAAAGAAAUCAACCGAGAUUCCCCCAGUAGCGGCGAGCGAACGGGGAGCAGCCCAGAGCCUGAAUCAGUGUGUGUGUUAGUGGAAGCGUCUGGAAAGGCGCGCGAUACAGGGUGACAGCCCCGUACACAAAAAUGCACAUGCUGUGAGCUCGAUGAGUAGGGCGGGACACGUGGUAUCCUGUCUGAAUAUGGGGGGACCAUCCUCCAAGGCUAAAUACUCCUGACUGACCGAUAGUGAACCAGUACCGUGAGGGAAAGGCGAAAAGAACCCCGGCGAGGGGAGUGAAAAAGAACCUGAAACCGUG